UACGGAGGGUGCAAGCGUUAUCCAGAUUCACUGGGUUUAAAGGGAGCGCAGGCGGAUUUGUAAGUCAGUGGUGAAAGGCUUAAGCUUAACUUGGGAACUGCCAUUGAUACUAUAAGUCUUGAAUGUUGUUGAGGUUUGCGGAAUGGGUCAUGUAGCGGUGAAAUGCAUAGAUAUGACCCGGAACACCUAUUGCGAAGGCAGCAGGCUAAACAAAUAUUGACGCUGAGGCUCGAAAGCGUGGGGAUCAAGCAGG
rnacentral:rRNA from 1 species